rnacentral:rRNA from 1 species
GUGGGGAAUAUUGGACAAUGGGCGAAAGCCUGAUCCAGCCAUGCCGCGUGUGUGAAGAAGGUCUUCGGAUUGUAAAGCACUUUAAGUUGGGAGGAAGGGCAGUAAGUUAAUACCUUGCUGUUUUGACGUUACCGACAGAAUAAGCACCGGCUAACUUCGUGCCAGCAGCCGCGGUAAUACGAAGGGUGCAAGCGUUAAUCGGAAUUACUGGGCGUAAAGCGCGCGUAGGUGGUUUUGUAAGUUGGGGGUGAAAUCCCCGGGCUCAACCUGGGAACUGCCUCCAAAACUGCAUGACUAGAGUACGGUAGAGGGUAGUGGAAUUUCCUGUGUAGCGGUGAAAUGCGUAGAUAUAGGAAGGAACACCAGUGGCGAAGGCGACUACCUGGACUGAUACUGACACUGAGGUGCGAAAGCGUGGGGAGCAAACAGGAUUAGAUACCCUAGUAGUCC